rnacentral:rRNA from 1 species
UACGAAGGGGGCUAGCGUUGUUCGGAAUCACUGGGCGUAAAGCGCACGUAGGCGGCUUUUUAAGUCAGGGGUGAAAUCCUGGAGCUCAACUCCAGAACUGCCUUUGAUACUGAGAAGCUUGAGUCCGGGAGAGGUGAGUGGAACUGCGAGUGUAGAGGUGAAAUUCGUAGAUAUUCGCAAGAACACCAGUGGCGAAGGCGGCUCACUGGCCCGGUACUGACGCUGAGGUGCGAAAGCGUGGGGAGCAAACAGGG